AGAGUUUGAUCCUGGCUCAGAUUGAACGCUGGCGGAAUGCUUUACACAUGCAAGUCGAGCGGCAGCGCGGGGCAACCUGGCGGCGAGCGGCGAACGGGUGAGUAAUGCAUCGGAACAUGUCCAUUCGUGGGGGAUAGCCCGGCGAAAGCCGGAUUAAUACCGCAUACGCCCCGAGGGGGAAAGCGGGGGACUUCGCAAGAGGCCUCGCGCGAAUGGGUUGGCCGAUGUCCGAUUAGCUAGUUGGUGGGGUAAAGGCUUACCAAGGCGAUGAUCGGUAGCUGGUCUGAGAGGAUGAUCAGCCACACUGGGACUGAGACACGGCCCAGACUCCUACGGGAGGCAGCAGUGGGGAAUUUUGGACAAUGGGGGAAACCCUGAUCCAGCCAUUCCGCGUGAGUGAAGAAGGCCUUCGGGUUGUAAAGCUCUUUUGUCCGGAGCGAAACGGUUAGCGUGAAUAUCGCUGACUAC
rnacentral:rRNA from 1 species